UGGGGAAUAUUGCACAAUGGGCGAAAGCCUGAUGCAGCAACGCCGCGUGAGGGACGACGGCCUUCGGGUUGUAAACCUCUUUUAGCAAGGAAGAAGCGAAAGUGACGGUACUUGCAGAAAAAGCGCCGGCUAACUACGUGCCAGCAGCCGCGGUAAUACGUAGGGCGCAAGCGUUAUCCGGAAUUAUUGGGCGUAAAGAGCUCGUAGGCGGUUUGUCGCGUCUGCUGUGAAAACCCGAGGCUCAACCUCGGGCCUGCAGUGGGUACGGGCAGACUAGAGUGCGGUAGGGGAGAUUGGAACUCCUGGUGUAGCGGUGGAAUGCGCAGAUAUCAGGAAGAACACCGAUGGCGAAGGCAGAUCUCUGGGCCGUAACUGACGCUGAGGAGCGAAAGGGUGGGGAGCAAACAGGCUUAGAUACCCUGGUAGUCCACCCCGUAAACGUUGGGAACUAGUUGUGGGGUCCAUUCCACGGAUUCCGUGACGCAGCUAACGCAUUAAGUUCCCCGCCUGGGGAGUACGGCCGCAAGGCCUAAAACUGCAAAUGAAUUGACGGGGUCAUAGCUGUUUCCU
rnacentral:rRNA from 1 species